GUUCAGAACUGGAAGAAUACCAGGUACUCAGGAAUCCGAGGAAGCGAAAGUACUUGAGCCCAAGAAUUCUGGGCUGUAGUUUGCUCUGCUGCUUGGGUGUUGGCACUAAGUUUGGCAUCAUUAUGGUGAUCUCCUAGGAGUGGGGUACUCCAGGAGGAGUGAACCAGCCCAUGUAGGAAAGGGAGCAGGUCAAAAUUCCCAUGCUGAUCAGUGGCAGGAUCAUGCCUGUGAAUAGCCACUGCACUCCAGCCCAGGUAACAGAGCAAGAUUCCAUCUCU
ensembl:misc_RNA Metazoa_SRP Metazoan signal recognition particle RNA